rnacentral:rRNA from 1 species
UGCCAGCCGCCGCGGUAAUACGGAGGGUGCAAGCGUUAAUCGGAAUUACUGGGCGUAAAGCGCGCGUAGGCGGUCGGGUCAGUCGGAUGUGAAAGCCCUGGGCUUAACCUAGGAAUUGCAUUCGAUACUGCUCGACUAGAGUAUGGGAGAGGGAAGUGGAAUUUCCGGUGUAGCGGUGAAAUGCGUAGAUAUCGGAAGGAACACCAGUGGCGAAGGCGACUUCCUGGCCCAAUACUGACGCUCAGGUGCGAAAGCGUGGGUAGCAAACAGGAUUAGAUA